CCACACAUAUAUAAACAACCAAGAAUAGCCUUGUUGGUUGACAAAAUUAGCAGAAAUAUUUUUAACAUUGUUCCAAAAGAGAAAUCAAGAGUUUAACAGACUUAAGUUAACUACAAAUUUAGUUAUGCAACUAACAGACUAAAGUUACCACAAAAGGAAACAUUCAUUUAGCUUCAAGGCUGAGAUUGGUUGAGGUUUUGAUGAGAUGGAGUCUGGCUUGGCUGAGAUGAAAAAUGGACUUGAGGUUGGCUUAGGCUUGCUUCAGUUUGUUUUCUCCUCAACUGUUG
rnacentral:lncRNA from 1 species